GUGAAAAAAUUGAAAGAGAAUACCUGUGAAAUUGGGGUUUUCCAUUGAUUUUGGCUUCUUUAACUUUCGGUAUGGCUGCAUAACCUCGGUUUUGGACUUCUUGUUUACAUAGUUGAAAAGGUCUAUGAUAAUUCUGGAGAAAUUCUUCUUGUAGCAGAUCUUCCAAAAUGCUCUACUUUUGGAAGUCCCAGCGAUAAUUUAGAGAGUUCAAGCAAACAUUAAACUUGUCGACCGUUAAAGAG